UCCUGGCUGGCUCAUUUGGAAGGACAUGUGACUUUUGAUCACAGAGUUGUGAGUUCAAGCCCCAUGUUAGGUA
rnacentral:tRNA from 1 species